GGAGUUUGGGCCGUGUCUCAGUCCCAAUGUGGCCGUCCAUCCUCUCAGACCGGCUACCGAUCGUUGCCUUGGUGGGCCGUUACCUCACCAACUAGCUAAUCGGACGCGGGCUCAUCCUAUACCACCGGAGUUUUUCUCACAGGGCCAUGCGGUCCCGUGGGCUUAUGCGGUUUUAUCACAAAUUUCUCUGUGUUAUUCCCCUGUAUAGGGCAGAUUACCCACGCGUUCCUCACCCGUCCGCCGCUAAGUAAAACCGAAGUCUUUACUCCGCUCGACUUGCAUGUGUUAAGCGUGCCGCCAGCGUUCAUC
rnacentral:rRNA from 1 species